rnacentral:rRNA from 1 species
ACGCUGGCGGCACGCCUAACACAUGCAAGUCGAACGAAGUAGCAAUACUUAGUGGCAGACGGGUGAGUAACAUGUAGGUAUCUGCCCUUUGGCCUGGAAUAACACGAGAAAACUUGUGCUAAUACCGGAUAAGUCUUUACGGAGAAAGCUUUAUGCACCAUUGGAUGAGCCUGCACUUGAUUAGUUUGUUGGUGGGGUAAUGGCCUACCAAGACUGUGAUCAAUAGCUGAUUUGAGAGGAUGAUCAGCCACAUUGGGACUGAGACACGGCCCAAACUCCUACGGGAGGCAGCAGUGGGGAAUCUUGCACAAUGGAGGAAACUCUGAUGCAGCGAUGCCGCGUGAGUGAAGAAGGCCCUUGGGUUGUAAAGCUCUUUCGUCGGGGAAGAAAAUGACUGUACCCGAAUAAGAAGGUCCGGCUAACUUCGUGCCAGCAGCCGCGGUAAUACGAAGGGACCUAGCGUAGUUCGGAAUUACUGGGCUUAAAGAGUUCGUAGGUGGUUGAAAAAGUUAGUGGUGAAAUCCCAGAGCUUAACUCUGGAACUGCCAUUAAAACUUUUCAGCUAGAGUAUGAUAGAGGAAAGCAGAAUUUCUAGUGUAGAGGUGAAAUUCGUAGAUAUUAGAAAGAAUACCAAUUGCGAAAGGCAGCUUUCUGGAUCAUUACUGACACUGAGGAACGAAAGCAUGGGUAGCGAAGAGGAUUAGAUACCCUCGUAGUCCAUGCCGUAAACGAUGUGUGUUAGACGUUGGAAAUUUAUUUUCAGUGUCGCAGGGAAACCGAUAAACACACCGCCUGGGGAGUACGACCGCAAGGUUAAAACUCAAAUGAAUUGACGGGGACCCGCACAAGUAGUGGAGCAUGUGGUUUAAUUCGAAGAUACGCGCAGAACCUUACCAACACUUGACAUGUUCGUCGCGACUCUAAGAGAUUAGAGUUUUCGGUUCGGCCGGACGAAAGACAGGUGCUGCAUGGCUGUCGUCAGCUCGUGUCGUGAGAUGUUGGGUUAACUCCCGCAACGAGCGCAACCCUCACUUUUAGUUGCCAUCAUUAAGUUGGGCACUCUGAAAGAACUGCCAGUGAUAAGCUGGAGGAAGGUGGGGAUGACGUCAAGUCCUCAUGGCCCUUACGUGUUGGGCUACACACGUGCUACAAUGGUAUCUACAACAGGAAGCAAGACUGCGAAGUUAAGCAAAUCCCUAAAAGAUACCUCAGUUCGGAUUGCACUCUGCAACUCGAGUGCAUGAAGCUGGAAUUACUAGUAAUCGUGGAUCAGCGUGCCACGGUGAAUGCGUUCCCGGGUCUUGUACACACCGCCCGUC